UCGUGCAGCCGGGGCGGUAGCGGUGCCUUGUACCUGCAGUCCGCUAUAGCAGGGGUGAUAUUGCGCGGAGGGCGAAAGCUGGCAGAGCUGCCCUUGGUAAGUGACGUUGAUAUCCGGGUCUCACGCGACGGAAAUCCGCGAACCGUGUCAGGUCGGGAACGAAGCAGCACUAAACGGAACCUUCCGGGUGCCGUGAGGGUGCCUGGGUUGAGUAAACUGCCAAGGUAACGUCUGUUGGCCUGGUUCGAAGCGCAAUGCACGA
rfam:Lachnoclostridium sp. An118 An118_contig_9, whole genome shotgun sequence.